rnacentral:lncRNA from 1 species
ACACUCCAUUAAAUUCCAUGCAAUUCCACUUGGGUAAAUUCCAUUCCAUUCCAUUCGAGUCCAUUCCAUUCCAUUCCAUUCAAGUCUAUUCCAUUCCAUUCCAUUCCAAUCCAUUUCAUUCGAGUCCGUUCCCUUCCAUUGCAUUCCAUUCCAUACCAUUCCAUUGCAUUCCAUUCCAUUUGGGUCCCUUCAAUUCUAUUCCAUUGGAGUCCAUUCCAUUCCAUUCCAUUCAAUUCUUGUCCAAUCCAUUCCAUUCGAGUCCAUUCCAUUCCAUUCCAUUCGAGUCAAUUCCAUUGCAUUCCAUUUCUAUCGAGUCAAUCCAUUCCAUUCUACUCCAUUCGAGUCCAUUCCAUUCCAUUCCACUCGAGUCCAUUCCAUUCCAUUCCAUUCCAUUCCAUUCCAUUCCAUUCUAGUCCAUUCCAUUCCAUUCGAGUCCAUUUCAUUCCAUUUGACUCCAUUACAAUCCAGUUCAUUCGAAUCCAUUCCACUUGAUUCCAUUCUAUUCCAUUAAAGUCCAUUCCAUUCCAUUCCAUUCCAUUCCAUUUCAUUUGUGUCCAUUCCAUUCCAUUCUAUUCCAUUCGCGUCCAUUCCUUUCCAAUCCAUUAGAGACCAUUCCAUUAAAGCCCAAUCCAAUGAAUUCCAUUCUAUUCGAUUUGAGUCCAUUCAAUUCCAUUCCAUUCCAUUCGAGUCAUUUCCAUUCCAUUCCAUUCCAUUCCAUUCCAUUCCAUUCCAUUCCAUUCCACUUGAGUCAAUUCCUUUCCAUUCCAUUGCAUUUGAGUCCAUGCCAUUUCAUUUGAGUCCAUUCCGUUCUAUUCCAUUCCAUUCGAGGCCCUUCCAUUGCAUUCCAUUUUAGUUCAUUCCAUUCCUUUCGGGCGCAUUCAAUUCAACUGCAUUCAAUUCGAGUCCAUUCCAUUCCAUUCCAUUCAUGUCCAUUCCAUUCCAUUCGUGUCCGUUCCAUUCCAUUAAUUGUGAUUGCAUUCCAUUCCAUUCCAUUCCAGUCCAUUCCGUUCCAUUCCAUUCCAUACCAUUCCAUUUCAUUCCAUUCCAUUCCAUGCCUUUCAGUUCCAUUCGAUUCCAUUCCAUUCGGGUCCAUUCAAUUCCAUUCCAUUCGGGUCCAUUCCAUUCUAUUCACUCCGUUCUGGUCCAUUCCAUUCCUUUCCAUUCCAU